UGCAUUUGUUAUAACAUUGAGGGAUGUUACAACACAAUGCACGAAUCAAACGAUAACCUUUCCGCGAGUGUUAUAAUCUUCAAAGAGCUCUUCACUUAAUAUACAUGUUCAAUCAUAAACAGUCAUGGAUAUAAAUGUUUUUAGCAGAUCUAUUACAAUCUGAAAGCACGAUCUCAAUAAUCACUUGCUAUGAUAUUGUCGUUGCACUUUAAUAGACAUGUCAGGCUUACGGACAGUGAAAGAACGUGAACCUGGCAGUGGUAGGUGCUUGCAAUUGUUUGUUACCAUCAAACAAAUAAAUCCUUCUUCAGUUUAUUUUUAGGUACAAGGGAUGAAGAUCAAGAAGAAGAUACAGGAGUACGUUGUAAUUUUUCCUGUCCUAAUCUUAACAUGUUCUUAGAUUUUUCGUUUAGACGAAGAGGAGGCUGAUGAAAAGAAGAGGAUGCUGACGGAGCUACGAGGAAGUUGCUUACGGAGCUACGAGAAGGAUGCUACGAGAGACGUGGAGCAUGGUGAUGGAGACGUAUUUACACAUGCUGAUGAUGCUACGAGAAGGAGGCUGAUGGCCCUACGAGGAGAAUGCUGACGGAGAGACGUGGAGCAUGGUGAUGGAGAACAAGAUAAAAAACAAGAUGAGCAUACGAUUUUUAAGAAAUCUUGGAUUUUCAAAGAGCAAAUAUACUCUGUUGAAUUCGAGACUUCCCUCGCUCUCUGACUUAGAAAACGAAUUAUGUGGCCAUGUUGGGAGAUGAGAGUGUCGAAGCUCAGCAGAACAUAAAAUUAGCAGAAAUUCUUUUCACUGUUUGGAAUUUCACCCCAACACGGCGACUGAUGAAAACACUUGAGAGGACCAAAUCAUUAAGGUGAAAAAUGAUUUUUGCAUCAGCUGGCAAUUUAUUUUGUACUUUUCACAGCAUUUUUAAUUCACAAAAAUUUACA